AAUAGAUACCCGAGGUAGUCCACCGACCGUAAACGAUGUAGUGCUAAGUGUUGGGGGGUUUCGCCCUCAGUGCUGCAGCUAACGCAUUAAGCACUCCGCCGUAGGGGAGUACGGUCGCAAGACUAGAAACUACGAAAGGUAAGUUCGGGACGGGGGCCCGACAACGAAGGCGGGUGGAGCAGUUGGUUGGUUUAAUUCGAAGCAACGCGAAGAACCUUACCAGGUCUUGACAUCCGGUGACCACUAUGGUAGACAAGUAGUUUCCCCGUUCGGGGGUCAACGGUGGACAGGUAGGUAGGCAUGGUUGUCGUCAGCUCGUGUCGUGAGAUGUUGGGUUAAGUCCGUGUAACGUAGCGCAACCCGUUAUCUUACGUUGCCUAUCAUUCAGGUUAGGGCACUCUAAGGAGACUGCGGUGAUAACCGGAGGAAGGUGGGGAU
rnacentral:rRNA from 1 species